rnacentral:misc_RNA from 1 species
UUGGAAUGGGUGCAUCUUUAUGGUCUCUCUUGUUCAUCUUGACGUGUGUGGCUCCACGCGCAAAUGACGUUUGCAGGUUACCUGCAUUUCGGAGGCCUCCGUACAGCUCUGUGCAUUAUGAUGCAACUAUCCUUUGGCUCGGGAAAACCAAGGGAAUUUUAUUCUACUUCUGGAAGACAUGGAUCGAACAGGACUCGUACCUCAUGCUGCAGGUACACUCCAAGCGGUUUCGUUCCGGACUGGAAUCAUCCCGCACAAAGACCUGACAAGGGGUGAACAUGUAGGCUUCUGCUUUCAAUCGAAAUGUCUGGAAUUGUACAAGUAUCUAUUCCAAUAUCCCUUCUGCUAGUAUGAAUUCGCCUGUAACAAUCACUGAUACUUCCAUCCUUUGUAGUGAGCAGGUCGAGAAGUUUUCCUCCAAAACGCCUCGUCGUAGCACUGUUUUCGUUUAGACAAUGGACUGGGGCUCUUGGGACCAAAAUCGUUGAGGCUUAGGCAGACAUCGAAGUUUUUGUUACAAUACGGUGAUAGUAAAAUAUAUAAAAUUUUUAUUUCCAACAGUUAAUUAUUCAGGAAUCAAUAAGAGAGAAAUCAAGAUAAUGAUAAUAUUAAUGAGAAUAAUAAUAACAAUAACAACAAAAAUGGCGAUGCUUUAAUAAUACUGAGUUACUCGCAAGAAAAGUACUGUUCAUUAUCAUCAUCUCAAAAAAGAAUGAGCGAUCAUUAUUGUUAUUGUCUGAGAAUCGAUAGUUAUUUUAACACACAUAAAGAUAGGAUUGAGAUAUGCAAUGGAAUGAUUAUUGGAAAUGCGUAUUUAAUAUCAUUUUUGAAUCUAUUAUUCAUGUGGUUAAAAAUAAAUCAAAACAAUAGGUCUAGUAUGGAAUUAUUCAUCUCCACGUCAGCUUGAAAAAUUGAUCGGAGAAAUAAUUAAUGGCAGAAAAUGAACAACAGCAACCAUUAGUCGUCAAAAUGAUGAUAAAUGUUGUUUUUCACAUAAGUAUAUUCUUUGUUUUAAUUACCAUUCUAACUUCUGAUUGCUAUUGAAAGUCAGUUGAAAUUGAAUGUGGUAAAAAUCU